GACGAACGCUGGCGGCGUGCUUAACACAUGCAAGUCGAGCGGUAAGGUUAUUUCGGGGGUACAUGCACGGUGAACGGGGGAGUAACACGUGGGUGACCAGCCCUCAGUAACGUGAUAAGCCUCGGAAACUAGGUCUAAUACAGGAUAGGUCCUUUCGCCGCAUGGUGAUUGUUGGAAAGUUUUUUCGGGUGGGGAGGGGACGGCCGCCUACCAGCUUGUUGGUGGGUGGAUGGCCUAUCAAGGGGACGACGGGCAGCCGGCGUGGGAGAGCGACCGGCCACUCUGAGGCUGGGACGCGGGACAGACUCCUACGGGAGGGAGGAGAGGGGGACAUUGCGAAAGGGGCGGAAGCCAGACGCAGCGAGGCCGCGUGGGGUAUGACGGCCGUCGGGUUGGGAAGCUCUUGUGGCCCGGACACAUUGUGACGGUAGCGGAAGAAGAAGCACCGGCUAACUACGUG
rnacentral:rRNA from 1 species